rnacentral:rRNA from 1 species
UGAGUAACCUGCCCUUCACUCUGGGAUAACUCCGGGAAACCGGGGCUAAUACUGGAUAUGACUCGAACAGGCAUCUGUUUCGGGUGGAAUGAUUUAUUGGUGGAGGAUGGACUCGCGGCCUAUCAGCUUGUUGGUGAGGUAAUGGCUCACCAAGGCGACGACGGGUAGCCGGCCUGAGAGGGCGAUCGGCCACACUGGGACUGAGACACGGCCCAGACCUCCGUACGGGAG